UUGAAACGAUUAUAUUUGAUACUUUUUGUCUCGUAUUAGUUGUUCAUUUUUGGUUAUACACUUCUCUGUGUUAAAUCAGUGACGUCUAUACUGUCAGUUUGGUGUGAGUUUACUUUUGUUAAACUUUUAAACUGAUCUGGUCAUCAGAGUUUUUACCCGGGAUCAUUGAAUGAUAAAGUUGAUCAGCUGAUAUGAAGUAUAAACUAAUGGAAAAUUAUUAGAGUUAGAUUAGUUCAAGUUAUGGAGAAAAUGCACAAGUUGAAACUCGUUUCAGCUAAAACAAUACGACAAAACGUCAACAAAGUGACCUUAAAGUUCAAGACAUAUUAGAAAUGGAAAAACGGUACCAGGGAAAGUGGAAUCCUGUGAUAUAUUUAGAUUUGAUGUACAUUUAUAAGUGUAAAAAUCUUUGUAUUGAAAUAAAAAAAGAAAUAGAGC